GUGGGCACACCACCCGCGGCGAACGUUCCGGCGAAGUAGUCGUGCACUUCUCCCCUAGUAGAACGUCGCGACCCGUUGCGUGUCGGUCUACGGUCCGAGGCGAAGACUGUCYGUCGUUGAUAAAACGUUCGGUGACAGCCCCUCGGUUUCCCGGCCGACUGCGUGACGGUACUCACUUAAGACGGUAUAGGGCCGCAAAAUCUUUGUCGAACGCAUUUGCGUCCGGGACCGCCGCAAGCUCGUUCCAGUCUAGAUACCGGUAAUACGGACUAUGCGCCGUAACCGGGCCUGGCGGGUUGUUGGCAGGCGUGAGUCCUCGGACAGGCCAAACUUUGAAUUACCGGUCGGCGACGCUAUUGCUUUGGGUACUCUCAGGACCCGUCUUGAAACACGGACCAAGGAGUCUAACAUGUGCGCGAGUCAUUGGGAUUUGAUUAAACCUAAAGGCGAAAUGAAAGUGAAAGUCGUCCUUAGCGUCGACCRAGGGAGGAUGGGCCUUGUCACGAUUAGGCCUCGCACUCCCGGGGCGUCUCGUUCUCAUCGCGAGAAGAGGCGCACCUAGAGCGUACACGUUGGGACCCGAAAGAUGGUGAACUAUGCCUGGUCAGGACGAAGUCAGGGGAAACCCUGAUGGAGGUCCGUAGCGAUUCUGACGUGCAAAUCGAUCGUCGGAACUGGGUAUAGGGGCGAAAGACUAAUCGAACCAUCUAGUAGCUGGUUCCCUCCGAAGUUUCCCUCAGGAUAGCUGGCACUCGUUCGAACGCAAAUGACGAGUCUCAUCUGGUAAAGCGAAUGAUUAGAGGCCUUGGGGCCGAAACGACCUCAACCUAUUCUCAAACUUUAAAUGGGUGAGAUCUCUGGCUUGCUUGCAUCAAAAUGAAGCCACGAGAUAAAUUUUGUUAAAAUUAUUGGAUCAAGAGUGCCAAGUGGGCCAAUUUUGGUCUAGAGAGAGUUCAAGAGUACGUGAACCAAACGCAGAGUUAAGGCGCCUAAGUCGACGCUUAUGGGAUACCAUGAAAGGCGUUGG
rnacentral:rRNA from 1 species